rnacentral:lncRNA from 1 species
AUGACACCCAGCAACUCCCGCGCCUUUCGACUUCCGGGUAUGCUGGCGGCCCCGCCCAUCACCCGCUUCCGGAAAACGAGGCCCGCCCUCCGGCCCACGCGCUGGAAUCCCGCGGUCGCCGCCCCUUCCGGGAAGCCAGCUGCGGAGGAAAUGAGCGGCGGACCCUGCCGCGGCCUCCGCGCUGCCUUACCUCAGAGUUACUUUCCUUUUCCGCGGCCAGGCACUCCGGCCCAGACUGAAACUAUUUCAUCUGACUACAGUCCCAUGCAUACCUGUCAUGGCAUGCACUGCUCUUUCUACUCCACAGAUGCAGAACCAAAAAGAUGUAAAGCAAUGAGGAUAGGAAGAUGGGAGAAGAUUUUGUUUUUCUUUUUUUGGGGUAACAAGACUAUGAAUUAUAGAGACUGAAAAGUGUCAUGUGGGUCUAUAAGCUGAAGACCUCAUGUUGCUGGUAAUGGUUCAUUCUUAAAACUUGAGAGCUCAGAAUUAGAGGAGCUGAUGAUGUGCCUUUACGAUGUGUUGUCAGGUUUUAUUACUGUUAACAUCUAACUAGACCUAACUUAACAAUCAGUUAACUUGAGAGAGAGAGAGAGAAUAGUUCUGUACUACCUGAGGUAUCAAGCAUUAACUAGGCUACUUGAGAUGUAUACCCCACGAAUAAGGAGGUACUAUUAAAUUGAUAUCCCUCUCUUCUCCUUUUUUUGCUUUGUCUUUCUAGGGAUUUAACAAAGUUGCUGAUCUCUUAAGUUAGGGUUUCAUUUUCUCUUCUAUUUUCAGGUUCAUUGACUUGUACUAUCUUUUUUGUUUGUUUUUGUGAGACAGGAUUUCUUUGUGUAGCCCUGGCUGUCAUGGAACUAUCUCUGUAAACCAGGCUCUCCUCAAACUCAGAAAUCUGCCUGCUUCUGCCUCCUGAGUGCUGGGAUUAAAGGUGUGCGCCACCACUGCCUGAUGACUUCUACUGUCUUUAUUAUUUCCUUCUGUUUGUGGUGGCCCUUUCCUUUCCUUUACUUGUUAGUCCUGGGUUAUAGUUUAUUGUUUUAAGACUUCCUUUUCUAAUAAAAACAUUUUAAUGCUGUAACUUCCUUUUAGUCUUCCUUUUCCCACAUCUCAGAUGUUUUCAUAUAUUUUCUUUUACUCAGUCAAAUCUCUUAUUUGACACAUAAUUCAUUCAUAAGUAUGUUGUUUAUUUUCCUAGUAUGUAGUUUUUGUUUUUUGUUUUGUUUUUGUUUGUUUUUUGUUUUUUCCUCUUAGGACAGGGUCUUACUAUGUAGACCUGGCUGAUCUUGAACUCAGAGAUUCACCUGCUUCUGCAUCCUGGGUUCUAAGAUUAAAGGUGUGUACCACCAUCCAGGCUUCCAUUAUCUUUUAAUUGGUUUCUAGUUUAGUUUUAUAUUAAGUAGAACAUAUUUUGUAUAAUUCCAAUUCUAAAUGGCUGUGAUUCAGGAUGAAUGUUCCACAUGUCCCUGGACACCAUGUACACUCUGUUUUGCUGGGUAGAGUGUUCAGUAAGUGUCAGUUGGAUCCAGUUGGAUUAUGUUAUUUUCCAAUAAUUUCAUUUCCUUACUGUUUUAUCUGCCUCUGGUUCUAUUACUGAUGAUAAAUCUGUAGUCAUCUGAAUUGCUGCUGCCUUGGAGGACUACCUGGUAUGGAAGAUACUUUCAAGAGGUGGUCUUUAAUUUUUAGGAUUCUAAAAGAUUUAUGUGUAUGAGUGUUUGCCUGCAUGUAUGUAAAUACACCACAUGUAUGUACUUCUCACAGAGUCCAGAAGAGAGUAUUGGAUCCCCAGAACUGUAGUUAUAGAUAGUUGUAAGCUGCCAUGUGGGUGCAGGGAACCAAAUCCUGUACAUCUGCAGGAAUAUCAAGUGCUCUUAACUCCGGACCCAUGUUUCCAGCUCUGUCUUUAGAUUUUAAUAGGGUUGUCAUGAUAUGUCUGAGUAUGGAUCGUCAGUUGUAUUAUGAUCAUUGUGUUUUUUAGUUUUCAAACUUGCAUUUCUUUUUUAUAGCCUUCAUUCUUUUACCGAGACUUUCCACCUUUCCAUUGUUUGAUAGCCUAUUUGUAAUUCACCAUUGAAAAGGUUUGUUUUGGUUUUGGUUGUUUUUGAUUUGGGGCUAAAUAGCAUAACUUCAUUGUCUUACAGUUCUAGAGGCUGAAAGUCUGAAAUCAAGGUGUCACAGGGUUGGUUCCUUUCAGAGUUUUUGAUUAUCCCAGUUUAUGGUGAGUUUGGGCAGUCUUUGAUGUUCUGUGACUCUCAGCUAUAUCAUUUCAUUUCAUUUGGUUCUUCCUCAAAUGGCCUUUUCUUCUGUAUUUCCCCUCUUCCUCAAAUUCUCUUCUAUAUCCUGGUAGAAUGACAUCAGUCAUUGAAUUUAGGGCCAUCAUAAGUACAGGAUAGUCAGGGGCUAGAGAAGUGCCUCAGUGGUUAAGAGUACUGACUGCUCCUCCAGUGGUCCUGAGUUCAAUUCCUAGCAACUACAUGUUAGCUUAUAACCAUCUGUAAUGAGAUCUGCUGUCCUUUUCUGGUGUGCAGGCAUACAUGCAGGCAGAACACUGUAAUACAUAUUAAAUAAAUAAAUCUUUAAAAAAGUAGUAUCAAGUACAGGAUAGUCUCUCAAGAUCUGUAAUCACCCCUGUAAAGAUCCUCUUUCCAAAUGUAGGUAGUUUCUUAGGUAUUGGAGGUUAGAACAUAUGGAUAUCUUUUUGAUAGGACACAGUUUCAGUCCACUAUAAAAUAUGCAUUACUUAUAAUAGAAUUCGCCAGUUUUAAGUGUUUAGUUUUGACAAAUAGAUGUAGUAGCAUACCUGUCACUGUAAUCAUGAUUCAGAAAGCCUUCAGCAGCUUAGAGAGUUCUCUACAGUUUUAUGGUCUCUCUUUUCACCACAGCUUCUGGUUACCAUAGAUCUUUCUGCUAUGCCUAAUAAGUGAAAUAUAAAUAUAUAAACAAUGUUUCAUCCUUUGUGUCUGGCUUCUUUGACUUAGCAGAGUGCUCCUGUUAAAUGUGUUAGUGAAAUCAAUAGGUUUGGAAAUGUUUGAAUUUAAAUAUAAGUUUAGGAAAUAAUACAGUGAAUACCCUGCACUUCAGCUCCCAGUUGUCAGCAUUUUGCUAUGCUUGUGUUGUCUUUAUCUUACACUUCAUCUUCACACAUUUUGCUAAGUUAUUGCCUAAAUCACAUCUUGUAAGGACAAGGUUCUUUUACUGUGGCACUUUUAUAACUGCUACAGUGAAUGUAUUAUUAAGUUUUUGUCUUAAAGUCUGUCAUGUGAGUAUACUCUUCUGUACAAAUAUCAGAAAAGAAGACCCAAAACUACUGUUCAGAGAUGAGUAAUGUCUACUUAAUAUUUUGGUUAACAUCUUUAUUUCUUUUCUUCCCAUGCAAGUUGAGACUUACUGGUACUUUGAAUGUCAGAUGAUUUGGAUUGCAUUAUAGAUACGUUGACUGUUGUAUAAGGAUGGGUGCUAGUCACUAUGAGGAAGGCUCUUAGUUUUGUUUUACCCAGAUACCAACACGGUGAGUGUCAGGCCACAGGUACAUUAUGCACAGCACAUACACAGCUUGGUCUUUGUCCCAUGUGCUUAUUCAGUAGCCCUAAUACUUUUUGUUUUUGUUUUUGUUUUUUAGUUCUCAAUUGCUGAUUAAGGUCAGAUCCAUACAUAUGAAGCUCUGAAAUUAUGUAGAUAUCUAUAUAAACUUUAUAGUGCUGCCUUUCUCUGUUUAUUUUUCUUGUUCCUGGUGGCCUACCCAGUACUUUGUGCUUCUAGGAGACUUCUGUUUCCAGUCUGCAUGCAGAAAGCUGGGGCUUUUGCUGCCUACUGCCACUUGCUUCCAUAAGUUCACCUGCCUGGAGCCAAGACAUAGGAAGAAAGAGCAAAGAGGAAAGCAGCAAGAUUUGGUUCAAAUAGAUUUGUUUAAAAAAGAUUUGGUUUAUGUCUUCAAGGUUUCAGUUUUUGUGGGCUCCAUUUGUUAUGACUAUGGGAUUUCUAUAAAGCCAAAUAAAGCUUCAUAUUUAGAUAUUUCUGCUGGUGUCUUAGGGUUUCUAUUGAUGUGAAAAGACACCAUGACCAUGGCAACUCUUACAAGGAAACAUUUAAUUGGGGCUGGCUUAUAGAUUAGACGUUUAAUCCAUUAUCAUCAUGGUGUGUGGGUAGGUGGCCCGCGGUGUGUAUCAUCGUGCCAUUAUCCUCCCUCUUGCCCUCCGUCCUUGGAGUGUCCACUCUGCCCGUCUGGUUACCUGGCUGUUGAGUUCCUGCCCAUAGAUUUAAAGACCCCCCCCCCCCCGGGGAGUUGCCCUUCUGUUUGACCUGGCGGCUCCCUCAGACUCCCAUCCCCUUCGUAGACGAGGCCAUUCCCAUUAUCAUCAUGAUGGGAAGCAUAGCAGUAUGUAGGCAGUGCUGGAGAUGUAGCUGAGAGUUCUACAUCCAGAUUGGCAGGUAGCAGGAAAAGAGUGACACUGGGACUAGCUUGAGCAUCUGCAACCUCAAAGCCCAUUCAGUGACACAUUUCCUCCAAUAAGGCCACACCUUCACAACUUCUUAUAGUGCUACUCUCCAUGGGCCUCUGGGGACCAUCUUCAUUCAAACCACAACAACUGGAGAUUGGAAGAAAAUCCAAGGAACACAUUAUUUGAUUCUUAAUCCAGCUUGUUAGUAUUCAGGCAUCUGUACUGGCCUGCCCUUGGGGUUCUCACAGGAUACACCCUCAGCUACAGCCACUAAGAGCACCUCCUGUGCACAUUCACUAAGUUUCCUUUUAAAAGGGCCCUGCCUACCUCCCAUCUCUCUCUCUCUCUCUCUCUCUCUCUCUCUCUCUCUCUUCCUUUCUCCCUUCCUCCCUCCCUUCCCCCCAUUUUCCCUCCCUCCCUCCCUUCCUCCCUCCCGCCCUUCCUCCCU